AUACGGAGGACGCGAGCGUUAUCCGGAUUCAUUGGGUUUAAAGGGUGCGCAGGCGGCCGUGCAAGUCAGCGGUGAAAGCCCGGGGCUCAACCCCGGAAGUGCCGUUGAUACUGCGUGGCUGGAAUGCGGUCGAGGCGGGCGGAACGGGGCGUGGAGCGGUGAAAUGCGACGAUAUGCCACAGAACGCCGAUAGCGGAGGCAGCUCGCCAGGCCUGCAUUGACGCUCGGGCACGAAAGCGUGGGGAUCGAACAGGAUUAGAUACCCUGGUAGUCCACGCCGUAAACGAUGGGCGCUCGUCGUCGGCGACAGACAGUCGGCGGCCAAGCGAAAGCGAUAAGCGCCCCACCUGGGGAGUACGGUCGCAAGGCUGAAACUCAAAUGAAUUGACGGGG
rnacentral:rRNA from 1 species